rnacentral:sRNA from 1 species
UGAUCCUUGACCACCUUUUUUAGGCAAGCAUGUCAUUUACGAAUUCUAAUUUCUUUAUUACAAGUCAGCUUUAAAGCUUGUACAACAUUGCAAAUUUACAAGUUAGGAGACAGCCUAAAAACUUUUGCACAUGGUUCUAUACAUAACCAUUACUCAUAUUACAACUUGUUUGUCUUGGGGGCUACAAUGCCCUGAGGUUGAGCUUUCUUUUCUUUAAUUUGAGCCAUUUGUUUCUGCCUCACAGAGCCCCAUUCGAUGGCCUCAGCAACUGCUCGUUGACGGUCAAAUGUGCUUUGAUCUUUCUUGGUGUUACCAGUUACUGAAGGAUCUUCAUCCUUUCUGUUCUGGGGUUCAGCGUUAAUCCUCUCUUCACAACCUGCGGGUACUUCUGCGAGGAAUCCCAAUGCAACAACAAUGUCACUCAUAUAUGGCCGAACUGAGGCUUCAUCUUCUAUGCAUAUCGCUGCCACGGCCGCAGCUUGGUUAAAAUCUUUGUCUGGAUAGUCACCUCUAAGAAGAGGGUCUACCAGCUCAUGGUACCUCCUCCGAUCAUGAAGCAUGGGUUUGGCCUGUUGACCACAAACAAAUUCAAUGAUCAGAAACUUUGUAGAAGGGCAUCUUAUUUGACUAAUUACUAUCAAAAAUUUCAUAGCAUUUUUUUUAUGUUCCAUUUGUUUGAAUUAUAUGACCAAGUUAUAGAAGUGGUUGUACUCUGAUAAAAAAAAUGCUGGUCUAGUUAAGUGUUUUUAGUGCAUACCCAGUAAGCCAGGAUUUGUUCACAAACUGGUCUGCAGGUAUCCACAGCUCUUCUUCCUGUGAUCAACUCAAGUAGAAAAACCCCAAAACUAUAGACAUCAGUCUUGGUACUUAGCAUGCCUGUUCUUACGUAUUCUGGAGCACAGUACCCAAAUGUGCCCAUCA